rnacentral:rRNA from 1 species
CUCGAGACUCCUACGGGAGGCAGCAUGGGGGAAUAUUGCACAAUGGGCGCAAGCCUGAUGCAGCCAUGCCGCGUGUAUGAAGAAGGCCUUCGGGUUGUAAAGUACUUUCAGCAGUGAGGAAGGCGGGUACGUUAAUAGCGUGCUCGUUUGACGUUAGCUGCAGAAGAAGCACCGGCUAACUCCGUGCCAGCAGCCGCGGUAAUACGGAGGGUGCGAGCGUUAAUCGGAAUUACUGGGCGUAAAGCGCAUGCAGGUGGUUUGUUAAGUCAGAUGUGAAAGCCCCGGGGCUCAACCUCGGAAUUGCAUUUGAAACUGGCAGACUAGAGUACUGUAGAGGGGGUAGAAUUUCAGGUGUAGCGGUGAAAUGCGUAGAGAUCUGAAGGAAUACCGGUGGCGAAGGCGGCCCCCUGGACAGAUACUGACACUCAGAUGCGAAAGCGUGGGGAGCAAACAGGAUUAGAUACCCUUGUAG